UUCAUCAGCUUACAUGUGGUGUUCUCGCUCAUGGUGGACAUGCAUUUAAAGUAAGGGUUAGGGUUAGGAUUAGCAAUUUUACCUUAAAAAAAAUUGGGGCGCUACAAUGACGUUUAAUAUGGAGAAAGGCCUCUGUGCCAUUGCCAUACCAGGGUCUGUAUGUCAGGAUUGCUCUCGGGGAUGGGACCCGAGUCGCUGGAUUUGGGAACCAGCGUUUCAGCCAAGUGUGUCAGAGAGGACCCAAGUGCGAGAUGUCGUUUCGAACUUAGUUUUUUAUUUUCAAAAGGUUGAAAUCCAAAAACACAAGAUACCUCCACAAUGGAAACUCCAAAACACAAAAUAUCAGGAACAGGGCAAAAGGCCAAAAACUGUAGCUCUCAGGCAAGGAGACACUAGCCUGAAACUAGCUAUGGCUAGAGGCAAAACAAGUGCGUGAGAGCACUGCGAACUAGGGUGCGUGAGAGCACUGCGAACUAGGGUGCGUGAGAGCACUGCGAACAACCAUGGGGACAAAAGUUAUUGGCGGCUGGGGUUGAGUUAUUGGCGGCAGGUCGGGUGGACGACCAGAGUGAGGCGAACAGUCAGGCGAACAGAGAUCAAGGAGACCAAGAAGCAUCUCCCUGGCCAGGCUCGGGAAGGAGCCGUCAGGGGAUGAGGUCAGGAUUGCAGCACCAGCGGAGGCUGCCGGGUCAGCGACGGCUGGAGUUGCAGGACCAGUGGCUGGGGCAGUCGCAGAGGACACUGGAGACAAGGGCACCUGCGCCUGGGACGGGAGCAGGGAUGCCUGGGACAGGAACACAGACGCCUGGGGUGCUUGGGACAGGGACAGGAGCGCCAGGGGCGCCUUGGGCCGGAUCGCCCGGGGCGGCGGAGUCAACAGCAGCAACGCCAUCUGAGACGUCAUCAGGGGUUGCUGCUGGGCUGGUGUCGGCAAAGAGGGCUGCUGGGCCCGCAUCGGGAAGGGAUGCUGGAGGGUCUGGGUCGGCAGCGGUGGCAGCGGGGUCUGGGUCGGCAGCGGUGGCUGAGGAUUCUGGGUCGUCAGCGGAGGCUGCGGAGUCUGGGUCGGCAGCGGUGGCUGCGGGGUCUGGGUCGGCAGCGGUGGCUGAGGAUUCUGGGUCGUCAGCGGUGGCUGAGGAUUCUGGGUCGGCAGCGAUGGCUGCGGAUUCUGGGUUGUCAGCGGUCGCUGCGGGGUCUGGGUCGUCAGCGGUGGCUGCGGGGUCUGGGUCGUCAGCGGUGGCUGCGGGGUCUGGGUCGUCAGCGGUGGCUGCGGGGUUUGGGUCGUCAGCGGUGGCUGCGGGGUCUGGGUCGUCAGCGGUGGCUGCGGGGUCUGGGUCGGCAGCAGUCAUCGGGAGAGCAGGGUUCAGGGCGGCGUCUCUCUCCAGGGCAGAGGCAAUGGCGGCCUCAAAGCUGUCCAUCGUAACCCGGUCGUAGACCCACAGCAUCACUGCCUGGAACGCCCUGAGGCUAGAGCACUCGGGGCCUUGCUUCUCCCAGAUGGCGGUUGCCAGUGCCAGGGCCUUGCCUGAGAGCAAGACAAUCAUGAAGACAAUGCGCGACUGUUCGGAGGAGAGGGUGACGGACCGGCGCUUCAGCUCCAGAUGGCAUUGGAGGAGGAAGCGUCUGCAACCACCUGGAUUGCCGUUGUAGCGCGGUGGCCCAGGUUGCACGGGAAAAUGGAGAGAAGGCGGUAGUAAUGCCUUCACUUGUUCCAGUCGUUGCAUGUAGCGAAGGUAACGAGCUAUGUCCUCCUGCUGGCGAGCGGGAUCCUUCUGCUGGAUAAUAUACUCCCGUUGCUCCGCCAAGGCUUGCUCGCCCUGAAGCAGUGUCUCCCUGAUCUGCUCCAACGAUCGCUGUUGAGUAACACCUGCUGGGUCCAUGUUGAUCGGGUCGUUCUGUCAGGAUCGCUCUCGGGGAUGGGACCCGAGUCGCUGGAUUUGGGAACCAGCGUUUCAGCCAAGUGUGUCAGAGAGGACCCAAGUGCGAGAUGUCGUUUCGAACUUAGUUUCUUUUAUUUUCAAAAGGUUGAAAUCCAAAAACACAAGAUACCUCCACAAUGGAAACUCCAAAACACAAAAGAUCAGGAACAGGGCAAAAGGCCAAAAACUAAGGAUACAAAAUGUAGCUCUCAGGCAAUGAGACACUAGCCUGAAACUAGCUAUGGCUAGAGGCGAAACAAGUGCGUGAGAGCACUGCGAACUAGGGUGCGUGAGAGCACCUCGAACUAGGGUGCGUGAGAGCACCGCGAACUAGGGUGCGUGAGAGCACCGCGAACUAGGGUGCGUGAGAGCACUGCGAACUAGGGUGCGUGAGAGCACUGCGAACUAGGGUGCGUGAGAGCACUGCGAACUAGGGUGCGUGAGAGCACUGCGAACUACCAUGGGGACAAAAACAAUCUAACGACCCGAUAAGGUCCAGAGGGAUUAGCCAGGUA
rnacentral:lncRNA from 1 species